UCCGAAGGGGGCUCGCGUUGUUCGGAUUUACUGGGCGUAACGCGCACGUAGGCGGAUUGGUCAGUUAGAGGUGAAAUCCCGAAGCUCAACUUCGGAACUGCCUUUAAUACUGCCAGUCUAGAGUCCGGAAGAGGUAAGUGGAACUCCUAGUGUAGAGGUGGAAUUCGUAGAUAUUAGGAAGAACACCAGUGGCGAAGGCGGCUUACUGGUCCGGUACUGACGCUGAGGUGCGAAAGCGUGGGGAGCAAACAGG
rnacentral:rRNA from 1 species